rnacentral:rRNA from 1 species
ACGGAGGGUGCAAGCGUUAUCCGGAUUCACUGGGUUUAAAGGGUGCGUAGGUGGGCAGGUAAGUCAGUGGUGAAAUCUCCGGGCUUAACCCGGAAACUGCCAUUGAUACUAUUUGUCUUGAAUACCGUGGAGGUCAGCGGAAUAUGUCAUGUAGCGGUGAAAUGCUUAGAUAUGACAUAGAACACCAAUUGCGAAGGCAGCUGGCUACACGAAUAUUGACACUGAUGCACGAAAGCGUGGGGAUCAAACAGG